rnacentral:rRNA from 1 species
GUGAGGAAUAUUGGGCAAUGGGCGAAAGCCUGACCCAGCCAUGCCGCGUGAGUGAUGAAGGCCUUCGGGUUGUAAAGCUCUGUGGGGAGGGAAGAAAAAGCGGGAGAGUAACUGCUAUCGUGUUGACGGUACCUCCUUAGCAAGCACCGGCUAACUCUGUGCCAGCAGCCGCGGUAAUACAGAGGGUGCAAACGUUGCUCGGAACUACUGGGCGUAAAGCGCGUGUAGGCUGACAUGCAAGUCGGGUGUGAAAGCCCAGGGCUCAACCUUGGAACUGCACUCGAAACUGCACGUCUUGAGUACUGGAGAGGGAAGCGGAAUUGCGAGUGUAGAGGUGAAAUUCGUAGAUAUCCGGAGGAACACCAGUGGCGAAGGCGGCUUCCUGGACAGUAACUGACGCUGAGACGCGAAAGCGUGGGGAGCAAACAGGAUUAGAUACCCCAGUAGUCC